CAGCUCUUCAACGACUCACAAGCCCUCAGGAACUCAUCAGGAGGAGCCCACUGAAUAUCAAAUAUCCAGCAGAAUUAAAUGAGAAGAAAAUCUGCUGGUUGAUGGCAACUCUACGUGCGCAAUUCUUGACUUCAAGUACUGUUCAACUUAAUGAGUGGCUAGAAUAUGGCCGUACCACAGAGGAGGGCAGGACCAAGACAAUAACUGUGAGAUCAGAGGAACCUUUAGAAAUCUGAGGAUCAUCCCUCGAGAGAUGGGCUGAAACAACCUUGGACCAGGACACCUCUUUGAAUAUUCAGCAGCUGAAAUGACCUUCUUUGAAUUAUUGCUUGAGGACACAAAGCCACCUGGGUGAUCUCAGCUCAAAUCAAGCACCUACGGCCGCAAAUAUAAGACUGAAAAACCAAUGAGGAAUCCUGAAACCAACUUAUCUCUUUAAUUUGGCAGCAAGCCUAACUCUCUGGACUAAGUAUGGCUAGCUUCAGCUUUUUUGGCUUUAACCUAAUAUAAAUUAGCACAAGAAACCAGGAAAACUUCAGAGAGAAAAUACAGUUAUGGUGAAGGCAUCUACCCUCUCCGAAUUUAGCCACAAGCUGUAAGACAUGCAGCCAUUUGGUGGCAUUUAGCAAGAAGAAAUUUAGGUGCCCAUGUGGUACAUCUUGGUGAUGCAUUCGAGCCUAUUUACUCUCGAUUAUUUUUAAAAUCAAGACUUUCCAACGAAGGAAGAUGACAAUUCUUUACCCAAUUUCGAGACAAUUAUCUUCUCUGCAGAAUUCCCUGAGUGGUGGCAUUAUACAUUGUACCCACAUAAGCUUGAUUCACUCUUUGGCUGACAACAAGAUUUAAAUUUAUCUGUCUUCGAUGUUAACACUAAAUUAACACAAAAGUUAUUCAAAAGUUCUUUAAAAAACACAUUCUGACAUCUUUUUGGUGAGAAAAACAAAGUAACCUCAUAGGCUUUUACAUAAGACAGAUCUAACAAGUGAUUUCUAUGACCUUGGCACUACUAAGUGAUACGCUAGGAACAUCAGGACUCAUUUAUGCAAUCAUCUGAAUAUAAAUAUAUAUAUGGGUAUAUAUAUUUUUUCUGAUGGUUCAAGUUAUGUACUGCAGCUACAAUUAUUAUUUCUUGCUGAUGUUAACGACAGUGCAAUUAAAAACAUAGAAAUACAAGUUUGGGUCAUUUUAAGACUACUUUCAGAAAGAUAUCAAACAACAGAAGUCAUAUUUGUAGAUGAAUACAUUAGCUGCUUCUUAUUCAUCAACUCUUUGAUGUAUAUACUCUCUUUUAUUUAAUUCCUUGAACUUGCCUUUAUCUGGAAAGAAACAUAUUAAUAAGCACUAA